rnacentral:rRNA from 1 species
AUGGCGCGCGGCGGCCGCUCCGAGAAGGGCGGCGGCGGGUGCGGGCGGUGCUGCCUGGGGUUCCUGCUCAAGCUCCUCGCCUUCCUGCAGGCCUUCGCCGCCCUCUCCGCCGUCCUCUACGCCGCCUCCAUCCUCUCCCGGUGGGCGCGCCACCAUGAGCUCCACAUCCACCACCUCCUCCCAGACCUCUGGUUCGCGUGCGCCGUCAUGGCCGCCGGCCUCCUCUACUGCGCCAUCCUCCUCGCGGGCUACGUCGCCGCCGAGAUCAGCAGCGGCUGCUGCCUCUGCUUCUACACCGGCUUGGCAAUGGUGAUGAUGCUGCUCGAGGCCGCCGUGGCCGGACGCAUCCUCCUCAACGAGCACUGGAUCCAGGAUCUGCCGUAUGACCGCACCGGAGAGCUCCAGAACCUCGUCUCCUUCGUCCAUGACAACCUCGACCUCUGCAAAUGGGCUGCUCUCGCUACCGUUGCCACCCAGGCACUCUCGCUUUUGUUGGCGAUGGUUCUACGAGCCAUGGUUUCACCCACGAGUAGCGACUACGACAGCGAUGAAGAUUUUGUGGUCAUAAGGAGGCCGCUGCUUAUUGCCCAAGGUGCUCCAUCCUAUCUCCCUACCACGGCUGACCCCAGAGGUGUCCAUCCGAACCUAUGGAGCUCAUCAAUGAGGCAGAAGUAUGGACUGAACUCCUCAGGGGACUACACCUACAACACACUGGGUCAAAAUGCAGCGCCACCGCAGUGA